rnacentral:lncRNA from 1 species
CACAUGGUAAAAAGGUAAAGGAACCCCUGACCAUUAGGUCCAGUCGUGGCCGACUCUGGGGUUGUGGCGCUCAUCUCGCUUUAUACUCCCACCUAACUUAGUUAUAUAUAUUUUUAGCUGGGAAGUAACAGCAGGCGAAGUGACUUCUAGGUGAAAGUUAUUGCUCCCAGGGCGGGGCAAUGUGAGUCCCUAUUUGUGUGUGAGUCCCUAUUUGUGUGUCCCAUGGACUGCCUAGAAAGGGAUAGGAAACCUAUGGCCCUCCAGAUGUUACAAUUCCCAUCAUCCCUCACAGUUCACCUUGCUGACUGGGACUGAUGGGAGUUGGGUCCAGCCACAUUCAGAGAGCCACAGGUUCCCCACUCCCAGUCUAGCUUCUUAGUGGGAGACUGGUUCCUGUAGAAACUGCAGGCUUUGGAAUUGCUCUCCAAGCUAAUAGUGAAGAGGGUCACAAGACCAGUUAUUCUCUGCGAAUUCAUACAGUGUGUAUGUGCAGUGUUUUGCCUUUCCAACCCUACAGACAUAUUUUUUGGGUAGGGCACUAAAAUAGCCAGUUUUCUAAAAUUACUGCCCCAUAAAUUCUUCUAAAUGGAACAAUUCUAACUAGUCCUACAAUCCCUUCAAAAAUGAGCAACUACAUUUUGGAUGAACUUGGUGAUUUUGAUUAUCUGUUGAUAUUUACAGGUCGCCUAUAUGUGCAUUAAAGUUAGGUAUCGAAAAUUGUGUGGAUGAGCUGUGACCCACAGAGUCACAAUAGAUUUUCAGUUUAGCUUCUUGCUGUGAACAACUUGCUCGUCUAUUCAUUCAGAGGAUUAUAAAUGCAGCCCCCAACUAUAUUUUGAAGAAACAUCCCCAUAGAUUUCCUGAAAAUGAAAACACUCCCGAGAGAUGCUUAACAAAAUGAUCCGGUCAGCAUAGCCAGGGAACGGAAAAUCCUGAUCAUUCUGCAAGCGCUGUGCUUGCUUGGCCUUCAUUUCCUCCUGCAGGCAGGUGAGUCACAAAUAUCUGAAGCGUGUAAUGUGACAGAUUUCACUAAAGUACUAUGAAAUUCCCUGUGUAAUACACAUUUGUGUGCCACACAACCGGUAGCAUUUAGGAAGUAUUAAUUGGCUGCAGCUACCAGAGCUGGCUGGGAUGUUGAGACAGGAAAGCUGCAAACUAGUGGAAUCCCAAGUUUACGCCAGAGAAAGCUAGAAGGCAAAAAAGUGGUUAGUUUUUUAUUUGGCUUCGAAAAUGCAGUUCAUUCUGAAGAAAAGUUCCUGUUACAGAGCUGAAAAUGGCCAUACCCUUAUUGAAGGGUGGAGUUAAUUUGAAAUGUGUUGUUGCUGUUGUUCCAUGUUCUUCACCUUGCCUACUGAGAGAGAUGGUUGUGCGGUCAACCAUUUUAAUUCCUUUAGAUGAGUGCACUCAAUUGGGUCCAUGUAAACGUGGCUGAAACACCUUCCCUUCUUUAUUUUUACAACUCUCCAAUGCUGGAGGUGGGGGAAAUAUCUGUAUUGCGCUGCACGUAACAGUGACGUUUGUAACCUCUGUUCACUGAGCUGGGGUGAUGGUGGAAGGAUAUUCACAAACAUUUCAGUGACUCAGAUAAGGAAUGUUCGACAACGGCUCCUUCACAGAAGCUAGAUUGCCAUUUACCUGAGCCCUAGGGACAGAAGUAGCAUUGUGAGGAGGGGAUAACAAGGAAGAAAACAGAGAGAGAGAAAGAGAGAACACGUUGAUAUAUUGAUGCUAGAAGCCUCAGAACCAAGAUGGAUGAUCAGGAGUGCCUUCCAGAUACCUUGGGAUUUCAGGAAACAAAUACUCUGGAGAGUCACAAAGAAAAGCAAGAUAAGUAAAUCACUCCAAAAGUUUGCAAGAGUUACAGGAAUAGGCUUAUGAAGAAAGUAGAAAGAUACAAGAGGUUUUCAGGACUGAGACUCUGUGCCAGUGGAGCUAUCGAGUUUAAACUGACUGUGCUGGUGUGCCCUAAAAGUUAUAUAGCAUUCGAUGGGGUUCUGACCAUUGUGGCACCUGCUGUCUCUCCAACACUAAAGAAACCAUGAUUAAAGAAGUGGUGUUUAGCUGCGUUUAGGCACCUGUAAGCAAUAAAGUGUUCUUUUUCUAUUGCUGUUUUUAGCACUUCGUUUCUACUUACCCCACUCUAAGUAUUAUUUUGCCUUCCUUGUUUUCAUGGGCAAGUUGAAUAACUUAAGGUGAAUGGUGUUCUGCUGUUUUUCCAUUUUCUACUGGCAUUGUUUCUUAUAAAGAGGUGCAUAGCCUCUGCUGCUGUUUUAUCCCUAAACACCAAGGGAAGAACAUAAGGAGAGCCUGCUGAAUCAGGCCAGCGACCCAUCUAGUCCUGCACCCUGAGCUCAAAAGGCACUGUGGAAGUCAAGACAGCUGAACUCUGCUAAAAGGGCGCAGACAACUGAGGGUCUUUACAAACUCUGUUCAGGUGGCCAUGCCAAACGUUUCAGGGAUGUUUGCUCAAAACAUAACCCCACAGGACACUUGCUUGGAUGUUGUAAUCCAAGAACUGGUCAUCUGACUUGCAGAACUUGAAAGAGGCGUCACUAUCAAGAUGGCAACAUGCAAAAAAAAAAAAAAAUCCUCUCUGGAUUUCAGAAUAAUUGGGAGCAGAUAAGAUUUCAUCCCACCCUUGGCAGAAUGAGAGAAUGUGGGAAUCUUGGAGAUUGUUGGCCCCCAUGAUGGGGAAAGGGAAGCUGUGAAAAGGCCAUGGUCUCAUGUUCUGCAUUGUUGGGGGAGUUACAUUGUUCCUUAUUUCACAAUUACGUACCUGAACUGCAAGAC